UACGUAGGGGGCAAGCGUUGUCCGGAAUCAUUGGGCGUAAAGCGCGUGUAGGCGGCUCGAUAAGUCUGCUGUGAAAGUCCAGGGCUCAACCCUGGAAUGCCGGUGGAAACUGUCGAGCUAGAGUCCGGAAGAGGCGAGUGGAAUUCCUGGAGUAGCGGUGAAAUGCGCAGAUAUCAGGAGGACCACCAAUGGCGAAGGCAGCUUGCCAGAACGCGCUCGACGGUGAGGGAUGAAAGCUGGGGGAGCAAACCGG
rnacentral:rRNA from 1 species